UGUCGCGGCAGGAAGGGACUACUGGAAAAGCUUCCCCCAGCGCCGUGAAGAUAGGUUCCUAAGUCCGGAGGACACAAGCCAGAUGGGAAGGUGGUGCUACGAGCCUGGCCUCGCUCUUUCAGGACACAGAGGCUGCGACCCAGGAGCCCCUGGCAGAGUUGAGAAAACCAGCAUUGGGGCAGGGGCCUUGAAGAUCGUCUGGUUCCCGCCUCCAAGCCUAUAGGCCACUCCUGGAAGCUCUUCUGGGCUUGGAUGCUGCCUGAGACGCACACUGAUGACAGCUUGGGAAAAGGAGGGCCACGUCCUAGCUGAGGAGCGCGCCUCUGAGAGAGUGUGCUGUGGCAUCCACGGCAGCAGCACUGUUCCUGAGGAGAAACUAAGAGCAACACAAACAUCCAGUAACAGGAGAAUUGAGAAAUCAACCACAGCUCCCACAGCAGCAGGGGGUUUGCGGAAGAGAAGGCCUAGGAGGACCGACAACUUCUCUCCAACCUGCACAUCAGAGCUGGCCGGGCUCCCAGGGAAGCCUCAGAGCAUGAAUGGACUCCUUACCCCACCCCGCAACAAGCAGAGAAACAGCCAACACCGGGGACCUCCUCCUGGGUGGCCUCCGUGCUUAACCCUGCAGUUUCCACCUACAGAACAAGCACCAACUCCAGCCUGGAGACACCGAGCCAAGGGCCAACCUUGCCUUCUGUUCAUCCUGCACUGCCCAUCUAAAUCUCUGAGGAUGUCUGAGCCCACAGGACACCGAGCCCAUCUGCGUGGAUCUGCGUAGCCCUCAGUGGGCUCUGAGCCCAGGCAGGUGGAGGAGGUGGUCUCUGCGGUGGAGGAGAGGCUUCAGCGGCACGUGAUGCGCCGAGGGGUGUGCCCAGCCUGGCGUGGAGCGGGGUAGGUGCUGGAUAAGUGGAUUCUGCUUCUCCGCUUUGGAGUUCCGGGAACAUCCAGAGGCUACAGCGGAGGCUGCGGGGCACAGCCAGUGCCAAGGCUGCAGGGCUGGAAGAGGCCAGAGCAGAUACCCCCGUACCGGCUGCAGCACCAACAGGAGGGGCAGGUGCUGUGAGUGCCUCAGGGACCCCCCACCUGGCCUACGCCCUGCUCCUGGGCCUCUGAGGGCUCCCUCCCCACCGCCUGCAGGAUCACAGCUCAGCUUCCUGGCUCAGCGCCUUUUCCUCCCGGUAAAAAAGAGAGAGAAAGAGAACCAUGUACAGCAUGGAAGCUUUUUGUCAAUUUCUUGACUGUGGCAAGAUUUUAAUCUGCUGCCUUAAAGAAUCCCUGAAAACCACCCCUGUGAGGAUCAAGAAAGGGAUGAAAUACUGGUUUAUACAAUCCACUGUUGCAUGUAGCCUGAAAAUAACACUUUUCAUUAAAAAAGAAAAAUCAAGAAGAGCUUGAACACUCUCUCUGCUCCAGGGAGCUCGGAUUUACCUGCCAAAAAUAAAAAGUAAACUCA